UCCCUGGUUGUCUAGUGGUAAGGAUUCGGCGCUCACCACCGCCGCGUCCGGGUUCGAUUCCCGGUCAGGGAA